GUAGGGGUAAGGCUGCGUCCCACUUGUGUGAUUAUACUGGGUGGUUGUUGUUAUUGUUGAUUUCAAUCUUAGUUCUCUUUGAUCUCCAAGAAAUUUUCUUUCCAGGAACCUGGUAGAGCUGAAGCUGAUUUUGGUCGUCUUGACGCUAAAACAGUUGUGAGGAACAUCUACAUUCUUUUUUCUAGAAGUGAAAUACCAAUAGCCAAUGAAAAUCAGGAAAUCAUGGACAUCGUGCAACCUUCGACACCUCUACCCCCUUGGUUCUCUGAAAAAGACCUGGAAACAUAUGGAGCCUUGUAUGAGAAAUCUGGAUUCCAGACUGCAUAUGGACAUUGUGCAACCUUCGACACCUCUACCCCCUUGGUUCUCUGAAAAAGACCUGGAAACAUAUGGAGCCUUGUAUGAGAAAUCUGGAUUCCAGACUGCAUUGCAGGUUCCAUACAGGUACAACGACAAUCUAUGUCUAUUUGAGCUGUAAAGUCCCUUUUUGACAGCUUUUUUCUUAUUCCACACUCAUAUGUCGCAAAACAGUUGUUAUACAGCAGACCAACAAAGGAUUUUAUUUUGAUGAGAUUUACGGCUAUGGUGAGGAAGAGGCAGAGUUAAGAAAGUGAUUAAUAGAGUAUAUAUAAAGCUGAAGUGCUAACUUCGACCAUUGUGUGUUUAACCUCAUAAAAUGACAGAAAAUUCGAGUUAUAG
rnacentral:lncRNA from 1 species